AAAACUUUUUCAGUAGAAUAUAUUGAAUUUAAGUGACUUUUAUUGAUUUUUGAUUUUUUUCAAAAAUUAGAGACAUUUUAAAUAGCCAGUGUAAACUUGGCUGAACAUUAGAAUAAUAUAAUGAAAGAACAGAGGUGCUUUAAUUUGGCCAUCACCAUUUUGGGUAAAUACAUGAUUUCUAUGACAAGUUUUCAAAUGUUGCUUAUGCUAGUCUAGAAGUCUUUGAAAUUCCAGGUAGGUAACUGAGAAACUAAAUCAUCAUCAUGAUCCAUUUUACAUAUAAAAUUCAAGUCUAUGUCUCUCUGUUAAUUGGGCAUCUCCUACUUGAUUGAGAAAGAAACUGAGGUCCAUUUCAUUCAAUGAGUAAUGCCCCAGAACUUCAUAAUGAAUACAUUGUAGACUUCCAAGUUCCCAUUCCCGCUCUACAGUUUCUGGACUUCAAUAUGUAACCAGGAUUUAUUUCGAAAUGGAGACAAUUGUGAGUGCUGAUGCAAACAUUAGUAAAACAAUUACUGUAAAAUGGUUAUCCAUAAGAGAUAAAGUAAUACUUUAAAAGUUAAGAAGGAAAUAUGCAAAGACAUUUAACCACGAGACCCGAUCAGAUCGUUCCAUCAACGUGUCCAUUUCAGUCUUGCUGUUUACAUUUCUUCAUACUGAAGGCCUUCAUGGAUGCCACAGUGGAGCGACUCUUCCCUCCUCUUGCCAUCAUCACCCUCCCCAGGAGUUGGAAGGGAUGAGCUCUAUUUCCAGGUUCAGCCGUGUGAUCAUAGAUGGCGGCUGUGUGGUCUUGGAGCUUCAGUCGUAUCAUCUGCAAAGUUGGGACAAAGCUUUCCUAUACAUUUUACAGAACUGCCUGGUUCAAACAAAGCAACGUGUGUAAAAGAUCUUAUUUAAUUACUUAUCAAAGGUUAGUACACCAUGGAAAUCUGAGAGGCUUCAGUUAGACCCAGCAGUUUCUUAGAAGUUCAAAGAGUUAUGUAAUUAAAAGAUGGUUAAUAAAUGAUUAAUUUGGCAAAAUAUUUGAGGUAGUGUUUUACUUUCCCAAAGCGAUCACAUCGGUUAUUUCUGUUUUCUCCUGAUAACAAGAUUGGCCAAGCAGUAAGGUGGCACAGACAUAAUAUUCAUUUCCUUUGUUUUUUAACCAGCUAGUAAAACGUAAGGAAACACUUAUUGGGGCGUGUGCACCUGGUGUCAAUUUUUUCUCUCAACAUUUUAUGAAAUUUUCAAAUAAGUAGAAAAGUUGUAAGACUCUACCAAGAACACCUUCAAACCCAACCACCAUCUAAAUCCUACCACUACGAUUUUGCUGCUUGCUUUAUUGCCAGUCUGCCCGUGUAUCUAUCCUCCCAUCCAUCCAUCCAUUCAUCCCUCUUACUUUUGGGAUACAUUUCAAGGUAGCUCGCAGGCAUCAGUAAACUUCCUUUAACUGGUGAAACAGCACGGAUAUCAUUAACUGGAGUUUGACAUCUUCUAGGAGUAUUUUUUUCCUGUUUAUGUAAAUGGGGUCUAAUUUCAUGUCAUAAAAGCUGUGGCAUAGUAUGCUAUUUUGUGUGUGUGCUUUUUUGCUACUGGAGUGAUGAAGCUCUUUUCCAACUAAUUCUCAUGCAGAAGCUGGCAUGUGAAACAGGUACAAGCAGAGCUUCUCUGGAUGAAAAGGAAAUGGGUGCGGAGUGCCAGCUCCUGAGCCCCUCUCUCCUUCCCUAGUCACCCCUGAGGCUUCUCACAGAACAUCUCAGCUGCCAUGAACUAUUAACAUUGGGUGCACUUCUUAACCUCAUGAACUUCAGUGUGAUCAUCUAUAAAAGAGGGCUUUGGAAAUAGCUGUUUUCUCAGGCCCUUUUGAAGCUGUGCUCUUCUCCCAUUCCAGUGAUGUUAAAAUAUUGAAAAUUUUGUAGACUUUUACCUUCACAAAUCUUGCAGCAGAAAGUUUUCUCUUGUUUUAAUUAGCUCAAUGCAAGAAGCCACAUUUAAGACUGUGCAUCUGAAUGCCUGAAGUAAAAACCACAGUCACAAGGGAUGUGUGUGGAAUGGAAGAAAACUGGAAAAACAAGAACCUGACCUGAAUGGAUGGCCAAAUACUGCAGCUGCCCAUGCAGGUGUGUAUCCACGCCAGAUAGACACAGAGCUGGAAGAAGAUGGGGUGUGAUUGGAACCGCUCUGGGUUGGUUUCAGUGAUCUCACGGCAGUCAUCACUACAUAGCUGUUGGAGCCCACACCACGGCUUGACACGAGUGUGCACACGCAGUCGAAGCCACCCUUAAUGCUUGCUGUUCUGCGUCCUUUGAUGUCUCUUGCUCAGCAGUCCAGCUAUUACAGUAAGUGGUUAAUGUGUGCUCCGGUAUUGUUGUGGUAUCAUUUGGAUGAUUGCAUGCUGGGCCGCGCAAGUCAGAGGCAGCAAAUGCAUUAAAGGCUCAUCGUUAUCGGCUUGCUGGGGAUGCAGUUGAUGGAAUGGUGGUAAACCUCAGAUGUUCCGCUGAGGCACAAUCCUAUUUGUGCUCUUUCCUUUACCCCGUCCCUUCUCCUCAUGUUCUGUCCCUCAUAAAGGCUGUUUCUCUAUUGUUUGAUGCAAAUGUGUAGCCUGGCUGUUUUUCCAGUCUUGCCCUGACCCCCUGGGAACAUAGGAAUACAAAUUGGUGAAGAUAUUGUUACUGGCUUUCAAAUGAGAAAGGGUUUGGGGCACUGUAGUAACGGGUCAGAGGUGCUUUGCUUUUUGUUGUUGUUGUUGUUGUUGAGAUGGAGUAUUGCUCUGUCACCAGGCUGGAGCAC